rnacentral:rRNA from 1 species
CUGCAAUGUGCAAGAGGUAAGUUUAGCAGAACAUUCUGGAAAGUAUAACCAUAGAGGGUGAUAGUCCCGUAUGCGAAAAACAAACCUUAGCUAGCAGUAUCCUGAGUAGGGCGGGACACGAGGAAUCCUGUCUGAAUCCGGGUCGACCACGAUCCAACCCUAAAUACUAAUACCAGAUCGAUAGUGCACAAGUACCGUGAGGGAAAGGUGAAAAGAACUGAGGUGAUCAGAGUGAAAUAGAACCUGAAACCAUUUGCUUACAAUCAUUCAGAGCCCUAUGUAGCAAUACAGGGUGAUGGACUGCCUUUUGCAUAAUGAGCCUGCGAGUUGUGGUGUCUGGCAAGGUUAAGCAAACGCGAAGCCGUAGCGAAAGCGAGUCUGAAUAGGGCGCUUAGUCAGAUGCUGCAGACCCGAAACGAAGUGAUCUAUCCAUGAGCAAGUUGAAGCUAGUGUAAGAACUAGUGGAGGACUGAACCCAUAGGCGUUGAAAAGCCCCGGGAUGACUUGUGGAUAGGGGUGAAAGGCCAAUCAAACUUCGUGAUAGCUGGUUCUCUCCGAAAUAUAUUUAGGUAUAGCGUUGUGUCGUAAUAUAAGGGGGUAGAGCACUGAAUGGGCUAGGGCAUACACCAAUGUACCAAACCCUAUCAAACUCCGAAUACCUUAUAUGUAAUCACAGCAGUCAGGCGGCGAGUGAUAAAAUCCGUCGUCAAGAGGGAAACAACCCAGACUACCAGCUAAGGUCCCUAAAUCUUACUUAAGUGGAAAACGAUGUGAAGUUACUUAAACAACCAGGAGGUUGGCUUAGAAGCAGCCAUCCUUUAAAGAAAGCGUAAUAGCUCACUGGUCUAGUGAUUUUGCGCGGAAAAUAUAACGGGGCUAAAGU